CUGGCGGCGUGCCUAACACAUGCAAGUCGAACGAAGCACAGAGGAUAGAGACUUCGGUCAAUAGAGCCUGUGACUUAGUGGCGGACGGGUGAGUAAUGCAUGAGCAACCUGCCCUGGAGAGGGGGGACAACAGCUGGAAACGGCUGCUAAUACCGCAUGAAGUUGCGAGGGGGCAUCCCUUUGCAACCAAAGAUUUAUCGCUCUGGGAUGGGCUCAUGUCUGAUUAGUUUGUUGGCGGGGCAACGGCCCACCAAGACUACGAUCAGUAGCCGGACUGAGAGGUUGAACGGCCACAUUGGGACUGAGAUACGGCCCAGACUCCUACGGGAGGCAGCAGUGGGGAAUAUUGGGCAAUGGGCGCAAGCCUGACCCAGCAACGCCGCGUGAAGGAAGAAGGCUUUCGGGUUGUAAACUUCUUUUAUCAGGGACGAAGAACGUGACGGUACCUGAUGAAUAAGCCACGGCUAACUACGUGCCAGCAGCUGC
rnacentral:rRNA from 1 species